AUCCGCGUCCCCGUUCCAGACCUGUGUGUCCCUGUCCCAGAUCCCAAGUCCCCAUCCCAGACUACUCUGUGUCCUUGUCCCGGAUCCCUGUGUCCCCAGGUCCCCAUCCCAGACCUGUGUGUCCCUGUCCCGGACUUCAGUGUCCCCAUCCUGGGCUCCCGUGUCCCACAUCCCUGUGUCCCCCCCCCAGACCUCAGUGUCCCUGUCCCAGAUUCCAUGUCCCCAUCCCAGACUACUGCAUGUCCCUGUCCCAGACCCCUUGUGUCCCUGUCAUGCCUCCUCAUGUCCCCUCCCAGACCUCCAUGUCCCUGUCCUGGACUUCAGUGUCCCCAGGUCCCACAUCCCUGUGUCCCCAUCCUAGACCCGUGUGUCCCUGUCCCAGAUCCCCGUGUCCCCAUCCCAGACCCCUCAUGUCCCUGUCUUGCCUCCCAUGUCCCCCUCCCAGACCUCCGUGUCCCUGUCCUGGACUCCAGUGUCCCCAGGUCCCACAUCGCUGUGUCCCCAUCCCAGAUCCCCGUGUCCCUGUCCUGGACCCCAGUGUCUUCAUGUCCCUGUCCCAGAUCUGUGUCCCCCUCCCAGACCUCCAUGUCCCUGUCCUGGUCUCCAGUGUCCCCAGGUCCCCAUCCCAGACUACUCUAUGUCACUGUCCCAGAUCUGUGUCCCCAUCCUGGACACCAGUGUCCUUGUCCUGGACUCCAGUGUCCCCAUCCUGGGCUCCCGUGUCCCACAUCCCCGUGUCCCUGUCCCAGACCUGUGUGUCCAUGUCCUAGAUCUCCGUGUCCCCAUCCCAGACCUGUGUGUCCCCAUCCCAGACCUGUGUGUCCCCAUCCCAGACCUGUGUGUCCCUGUCCCAGGUCCCCGUGUCCCCAUCCUGGACCCCAGUGUCUUCAUGUCCCUGUCCCAGAUCCGUGUCCCCAUCCCAGACCUCCAUGUCCCUGUCCUGGACCCCAGUGUCCCCAGGUCACACAUCCCUGUGUCCCCAUCCCAGACCUGUGUGUCCCUGCCCUGGCUCCCUGUGUCCCCCUCCCAGACCCCUCAUGUCCUCGUCCUGCCUCCCAUGCCCUCCUCCCAGACCUCCGUGUCCCUGUGCUGGACUCCAGUGUCCCCAUCCUGGCUCCCCAUGUCCCUGUCCCAGAUCCCUGUGUCCCCAUCCUGGACCCCAGUGUCCUCAUGCCCCUGUCCCGGAUCCCUGUGUCCCCCUCCCAGACCUCCAUGUCCCUGUCCUGGACUCCAGUGUCCCCAACCUGGGCUCCCGUGUCCCACAUCCCUGUGUCCCCAUCCCAGACCUGUGUGUCCCUGUCCCAGAUCCCCGUGUCCCCAUCCUGGACCCCAGUGUCUUCAUGUCCCUGUCCCAGAUCUGCAUCCCCAUUCCAGACCUGUGUGUCCCUGUCCUGCACCUGUGUCCCCAUGUCCCACAUCCCCAUGUCCCUGCCCCAGAUCCCUGUCCCCCCAUCCCAGAUCCCCGUGUCCCCAUCCUGCAUCCCAGUGUCUUCAUGUCCCUGUCCCAGAUCCCUGUGUCCCCCUCCCAGACCUCCAUGUCCCUGCCCUGGACUCCAGUGUCCCCAGGUCCUCACCCCAGACUACUCUAUGUCCCCAUCCCGGAUCCCCGUGUCCCCAUCCUGGACCCCAGUGUCUUCACAUCCCUGUCCCAGAACCCUCUGUCCCCAUCCUGGCUCCCCAUGUCCCCAUCCCAGACCUCCGUGUCCCUGUCCUGGGCCCCAGUGUCCCCACAUCCUGCAUCCCCAUCCCAGACCAUCCCCGUGUCCCCGUCCCAGACCUGUGUGUCCCUGUCCCAGAUCCCUGUGUCCCCGUGUCCCCAUCCUGGACCCCAGUGUCCUCAUGUCCCUGUCCCAGACCUGUGUGUCCCUGUCCCAGAUCCCAAGUCCCCAUCCCAGACUACUCUGUGUCCUUGUCCCGGAUCCCUGUGUCCCCAGGUCCCCAUCCCAGACCUGUGUGUCCCUGACAUCUCCGUGUCCCCCUCCCAGACCUGUGUGUCCCUGUCCUGGACUUCAGUGUCCCCAUCCUGGGCUCCCGUGUCCCACAUCCCUGUGUCCCCCCCCCAGACCUCAGUGUCCCUGUCCCAGAUUCCAUGUCCCCAUCCCAGACUACUGCAUGUCCCUGUCCCAGACCCCUUGUGUCCCUGUCAUGCCUCCUCAUGUCCCCUCCCAGACCUCCAUGUCCCUGUCCUGGACUCCAGUGUCCCCAGGUCCCACAUCGCUGUGUCCCCAUCCCAGAUCCCCGUGUCCCUGUCCUGGACCCCAGUGUCUUCAUGUCCCUGUCCCAGAUCUGUGUCCCCCUCCCAGACCUCCAUGUCCCUGUCCUGGACUUCAGUGUCCCCAGGUCCCACAUCCCUGUGUCCCCAUCCUAGACCCGUGUGUCCCUGUCCCAGAUCCCCGUGUCCCCAUCCCAGACCCCUCAUGUCCCUGUCUUGCCUCCCAUGUCCCCCUCCCAGACCUCCGUGUCCCUGUCCUGGACUCCAGUGUCCCCAGGUCCCACAUCGCUGUGUCCCCAUCCCAGAUCCCCGUGUCCCUGUCCUGGACCCCAGUGUCUUCAUGUCCCUGUCCCAGAUCUGUGUCCCCCUCCCAGACCUCCAUGUCCCUGUCCUGGUCUCCAGUGUCCCCAGGUCCCCAUCCCAGACUACUCUAUGUCACUGUCCCAGAUCUGUGUCCCCAUCCUGGACACCAGUGUCCUUGUCCUGGACUCCAGUGUCCCCAUCCUGGGCUCCCGUGUCCCACAUCCCCGUGUCCCUGUCCCAGACCUGUGUGUCCAUGUCCUAGAUCUCCGUGUCCCCAUCCCAGACCUGUGUGUCCCCAUCCCAGACCUGUGUGUCCCCAUCCCAGACCUGUGUGUCCCUGUCCCAGGUCCCCGUGUCCCCAUCCUGGACCCCAGUGUCUUCAUGUCCCUGUCCCAGAUCCGUGUCCCCAUCCCAGACCUCCAUGUCCCUGUCCUGGACCCCAGUGUCCCCAGGUCACACAUCCCUGUGUCCCCAUCCCAGACCUGUGUGUCCCUGCCCUGGCUCCCUGUGUCCCCCUCCCAGACCCCUCAUGUCCUCGUCCUGCCUCCCAUGCCCUCCUCCCAGACCUCCGUGUCCCUGUGCUGGACUCCAGUGUCCCCAUCCUGGCUCCCCAUGUCCCUGUCCCAGAUCCCUGUGUCCCCAUCCUGGACCCCAGUGUCCUCAUGCCCCUGUCCCGGAUCCCUGUGUCCCCCUCCCAGACCUCCAUGUCCCUGUCCUGGACUCCAGUGUCCCCAACCUGGGCUCCCGUGUCCCACAUCCCUGUGUCCCCAUCCCAGACCUGUGUGUCCCUGUCCCAGAUCCCCGUGUCCCCAUCCUGGACCCCAGUGUCUUCAUGUCCCUGUCCCAGAUCUGCAUCCCCAUUCCAGACCUGUGUGUCCCUGUCCUGCCUCCCACACCUCUGUGUCCCUGUCCUGGACUCCAGUGUCCCCAUCCCGGGCUCCCGUGUCCCACAUCCCCAUGUCCCCAUCCCAGACCUGUGUGUCCAUGUCACAGAUCCCUGUGUCCCCAUGUCCCUGUCCUGGACUUCAGUGUCCCCAGGUCCCAUAUCCCCAUGUCCCUGUCCCAGACCAUCCCCGUGUCCCCAUCCCAGACCUGUGUGUCCCCAUCCCAGACCUGUGUGUCCCUGUCCCAGGUCCCCGUGUCCCCAUCCUGGACCCCAGCGUCUUUAUGUCUCGGUCCC
rnacentral:lncRNA from 1 species